AUUAAUUUCUCAGCUAACUACUAGCUUAAAAAGGUUCAGCCAUGGGGUGUUCUGCUUCAUUUGCCCUUGGUUCUAAUGCUCUGAUCCCAAUUUAGUACACAUGCAUCUAAUUCUCAAAUUAAUUAAUCUUAUUAGACUUUUCCUUUUGCUAAUUAGAUUUAUUAAUCAACUUUCGGUGCCGUGUUCAAAAAGCCUUAUCACCCGGGAUUAGAGGCUCAGACAGAGUGUAUGCUAAAAAACAUCAACAUAUAAGGAGCAAGAUGUGUCACAUAUAUCUCACAAGUUAGUAUAUGCGGGUGCAGCAUCAUCAAGAUUCACAAGGCUUAUCAAUUUGAAGUUUCAUUAUAUAAAUUUGAGAAUCUUGAUGAUGCUGCAUCGACAAAUACAUGACUAAUUAAUUUCUGUUCAAAUUAGUUAUGCAACCAAGAAAUUGAAGAACAAGGUAAAAUAUAUUGAUAUGUGUGUGGGUGAGUUUUAGUACGUAUGUUGUUCAUGUUAAUGUGUCCUUCCAUUCUGCGAUAUGCCUUUGUUUAUGUAUUUUGCUAAUGGCUAGAGGAGCUUGAAUUAUAUAUAGUUAGUCUUUUAAGCAACCAUUAAAUGAGAUAUUUAGUCUUUAAUUGGACUUUGGACCUAUAAAGGAAAACAUAUCAUAAUAUUAAAAUUUAAUUUAGUACUAUAGUCAGUUAGCACUCUUUAUGUGAAUUUUUGUGCAUAGGCACUUAACAAUAAUCAAAAUUUAUGUUGUA